UACGGGGGUUGACUUCUAACUUUUCGACUUCGAUUUUCCCUUGGAUUAGAAGGCGAAACUAGCGUGCUAAGGCUAUCGAGUAGCCACACUCGCUCGUUUCCCUUAUCGGAGGGGGACACUCAAGCAAAAUGAACCCUAUAGCUAGUAUGGGAUGCAAAACCUAAAAUGAGAGGAAAAGGGGUUUGAGGAUCAUGCCAAAUGAUAAAACUAAGGAAAAUGCGUGAUAUGUGGUGAACAAGCAAAUGAUGUACUAUCGAGGGAAAAUCCCUAAGGGUCUAGCGUUGGACUAGCCCAUUCUAUGAAUUCCGACUAGCGUUGGACUAGUGGAAACGAUAAAAGAAGCCACAACUAGCGUUGGACUAGUGUGGUGACGUACAUUCAUCCAUUCCAUUCAUCCACACUAUGGAAAGCAAGUAGACAUGUCGAACACUUGUAAACACAUAGCACGUAACACUGAGCAUGCUCGACUAGAUGCAAGGCCCUAACAAAGCAAAUUAACACGUAGCAACUAAGCAUGCAAGACACAUAAGACAAUUAAAGCCCUAACUAUUACAUUUGCUAGCUAGGCACACGUCUUCGAUAGGUCUUCAUUGAAUGCUCCUCCAAGCCCUAUCUAUUACAUUCACUAACUAAAACAAAAGGGGGAAAGGGAAAAUGGACCAAAUUACUCGCCAAAGCCCUAUCUAUUACAAGCCAAGAGGUGUACACAUACCCCAUAAUGAAUAAUUUAAAUAAAAGUAAAAGUAGAUGAAAUAAAUGCAAGGAAUUAAGGGAAGGCAAGAAAAGCGAAGUAGACAUGCAUAUUCACAUAACACGUAGGAGCACGUAGGGUCAAAUGAAGUGCAAAUAUAAGGGGUAGAAUGUACCUCCCUUGAAAUGGAGCUCUGAUGGGGUGAAGUCAUUUAUUUACCCUCCAAAAUAAUAAACGAGUCAAGGCAUCACUUUAUUUAACAAAUAAUCAUAAAAAAUAAAAUGGUAAACUUGAAAUUGAAUCAGUUGAAUCAUGUAAGCAACUCACAUUCAAGAAGUCAAAAGAAGAAAGGACUUGAUUGCACAAAUUAACAAAGUUUGGAGGUCAAAAUUAAAGAAAAAUAAAGUUCAGGGGCCCAUUUGUAAUUAAGUUAGGGACCCAAUUGAAAGAAAUGAAAAGUGUCCAGGGCCACAGUAUAGUUAAGGAAAAAUUCAGGGACUGAUUUGCAAAAUUGUUUUCUGGUUUCUUAAUGGACCAAACCUAUUGGGCUAUUUUAUUUAUUUGUUUGGGCCAAAGAUCAUUCGGCCCAGUCGGAACUCUAGCAAAACAGAUGGACUAGUCUACUAUUCUGACCUCAAGAAUGAUCCAACAAAACUGAUGGGCUUUAACCCUUCAGCCCAACGGAAGUCCGAAACAAAAAGGAAUGGGCCAACCUAUUAUUUAUGUCAAGUAAACCCAAUAAAAUGCAUGGGCCUUAAACCCCCAAGCCCAAACCAAAACCCAAAAGAAAAUAAACUAAAUCCAAGUUUACAAACCCAACCAAAAUAACCUCUCAGCCCAAACCAUCUAUUUCACUAAAAAAACAACAUGAAAAAACAAAUAAAAUUGUUAAAACAUAAUUAUGAUCUAACAGCAGGAAUUAAUCUAUCCAAAAGACUAGUCAAAAAAGAUUAAAAGAUGAUUAACGUCUAAAAAAAAGGUCAAAAUAAAUCCAAUUUCUUUAAUUUUUAGGGGUCAGAACACAACAAGGGGAAAGAUUAAUUCAGGGCCUGAUCGUAAGAGCAGUCAAAUCAUUCGGGCCGUGGUGAAAUUAGACAAACUUGGGGGGUAAAAAAAUUCAGAAAUUUAUGUUUCAUGAUUCGC
rnacentral:lncRNA from 1 species